rnacentral:rRNA from 1 species
CCUACGGGAGGCUGCAGUGGGGAAUAUUGGGCAAUGGGCGCAAGCCUGACCCAGCAACGCCGCGUGAAGGAAGAAGGCUUUCGGGUUGUAAACUUCUUUUGACAGGGAAGAGUAGAAGACGGUACCUGCCGAAUAAGCUACGGCUAACUACGAGCCAGCAGCCGCGGUAAUACGUAGGUGGCAAGCGUUGUCCGGAUUUACUGGGUGUAAAGGGCGUGUAGCCGGGUUGACAAGUCAGAUGUGAAAUCCUUGGGCUUAACCUGAGAACUGCAUUUGAAACUGUUGAUCUUGAGUACGGGAGAGGGAGGCGGAAUGCCUGGUGUAGCGGUGAAAUGCGUAGAUAUUGGGAGGAACACCGGUGGCGAAGGCGGUCUGCUGGAC